UGGAUCCAGACUUUGAUUCUGGCUCAGGACGAACGCUGGCGGCGUGCCUAACACAUGCAAGUCGAACGGAGAAUUUUAUUUCGGUAGAAUUCUUAGUGGCGAACGGGUGAGUAACGCGUAGGCAACCUGCCCUUUAGACGGGGACAACAUUCCGAAAGGAGUGCUAAUACCGGAUGUGAUCAUCUUGCCGCAUGGCAGGAUGAAGAAAGAUGGCCUCUACAAGUAAGCUAUCGCUAAAGGAUGGGCCUGCGUCUGGUUAGCUAGUUGGUAGUGUAACGGACUACCAAGGCGAUGAUCAGUAGCCGGUCUGAGAGGAUGAACGGCCACAUUGGGACUGAGACACGGCCCAAACUCCUACGGGAGGCAGCAGUGGGGAAUCUUCCGCAAUGGACGAAAGUCUGACGGAGCAACGCCGCGUGAGUGAUGAAGGAUUUCGGUCUGUAAAGCUCUGUUGUUUAUGACGAACGUGCAGUGUGUGAACAAUGCAUUGCAAUGACGGUAGUAAACGAGGAAGCCACGGCUAACUACGUGCCAGCAGCCGUGGUAAUACGUAGGUGGCGAGCGUUGUCCGGAAUUAUUGGGCGUAAAGAGCAUGUAGGCGGCUUAAUAAGUCGAGCGUGAAAAUGCGGGGCUCAACCCCGUAUGGCGCUGGAGACUGUUAGGCUUGAGUGCAGGAGAGGAAAGGGGAAUUCCCAGUGUAGCGGUGAAAUGCGUAGAUAUUGGGAGGAACACCAGUGGCGAAGGCGCCUUUCUGGACUGUGUCUGACGCUGAGAUGCGAAAGCCAGGGUAGCGAACGGGAUUAGAUACCCCGGUAGUCCUGGCCGUAAACGAUGGGUACUAGGUGUAGGAGGUAUCGACCCCUUCUGUGCCGGAGUUAACGCAAUAAGUACCCCGCCUGGGGAGUACGGCCGCAAGGUUGCAACUCAAAUGAAUUGACGGA
rnacentral:rRNA from 1 species